rnacentral:tRNA from 1 species
GCGCCUGUAGCUCAGCAGGAUAGAGCACUGGAUUCCUAAUCCGGGGGUCGUGGGUUCGAAUCCCGCCAGGCGUA